rnacentral:rRNA from 1 species
UACGAAGGGGGCGAGCGUUGUUCGGAUUUACUGGGCGUAAAGGGCGCGCAGGCGGCGCAUUUUGUCAGGCGUGAAAGCCCCGGGCUUAACCUGGGAACUGCGUUUGAUACGGAUGGGCUAGAGUUCGGGAGAGGAGAGUGGAAUUCCCAGUGUAGAGGUGAAAUUCGAUAGAUAUUCGCAAGAACACCAGUGGCGAAGGCGGCUCACUGGCCCCGAUACUGACGCUGAGGCACGGAAAGCGUGGGGGAAGCAAACAGG